GGGGGUGAACUAGGUUCGACAGGCGUCGUUGAGUCGAUGGUCGCAGGCCCUGGAAGGUCUGAGCCAGGAUAAAAUCAGGCCAAAACACAAACGCCAACACGCAGUUGGCUUGGGCUGUCGCCUAACACGCGAUAAGCACACGCCGGUCCGCGACUCCUGCUGGCGGGUCGCCGGCGUCAAGAGCAGGGUGCGGUCCCUCCCGCUGUUCCCGUCGGAGGGGGGCUUAAGCGAGAACGGGGAUAGCCCGGUGGCACUGGUCCGGCGGUCUCCGCCGGGUGAAAUGAACGUCGGACUAAGCCUGUAGUGACCUCGGCCGGCGGAGCUUGGACGCGGGUGCGACUCCCGCCACCUCCACCA
rnacentral:tmRNA from 1 species